UACGUAGGGUGCAAACGUUGCCCGGAUUUAUUGGGCGUAAAGGGCGCGUAGGCGGCUCUGCACGUCCGUUGUGAAAUCGCCCGGCUCAACUGGGCGGGUCAGCGGAUACGGCGGAGCUUGAGCAAGCUAGGGGCAAUGGAAUCCCGGUGUAGUGGUGGAAUGCGUAGAUAUCGGGAGGAACACCAGUGGCGAAGGCGGUUCUCUGGGCAUGGUCCUGACGCUGAGGAGCGAAAGUGUGGGGGAGCGAACAGG
rnacentral:rRNA from 1 species